rnacentral:sRNA from 1 species
CUCACCAAAACAAAACAAGUGAAAACGCGGAAUCGGGAAUCCCUGAAUUCUCUCCAAUUAAAUACAGCAACAAAAUAACAUAGUUAUAUUAUUUUGAAUAGUGAUAAUACAGUACGAAAAAAUUGUUAAAAGAAACUUGAUAAACAUUAUAUUGUGAAUAAAAAGCCAAGCUUAAAGAAAAAAAAAACCGAAGAAAGACAUACAUUUAUACGAACUUUAAGAAUUGUUUCAUAAAUUAUGGGGGAAUGUCCUACUGAAUAAAAUCAGCAAAUAGCAAUCAAAAUCUAUUAUCUAAAAAAAGUAAGUAAAGCCAAGAACUUCAUCCACAAAGUUCUACUGUUAAGCGAUGAACGUUUCAAAGCAGACAACAUAAAUAAAAUACGACAAAUUUUAAAACAGAACAAUUAUCCAAUGGCAUUAAUAAAUAAUUUAAUUCGCGACGUCACCAACGGAUCCAAACGACCCCAUGAAGAAAAA